rnacentral:rRNA from 1 species
UCGAGCGGUAGAGAGAAGCUUGCUUCUCUUGAGAGCGGCGGACGGGUGAGUAAUGCCUAGGAAUCUGCCUAGUGGUGGGGGAUAACGUUCGGAAACGGACGCUAAUACCGCAUACGUCCUACGGGAGAAAGCGGGGGAUCUUCGGACCUCGCGCCAUUAGAUGAGCCUAGGUCGGAUUAGCUAGUUGGUGAGGUAAUGGCUCACCAAGGCGACGAUCCGUAACUGGUCUGAGAGGAUGAUCAGUCACACUGGAACUGAGACACGGUCCAGACUCCUACGGGAGGCAGCAGUGGGGAAUAUUGGACAAUGGGCGAAAGCCUGAUCCAGCCAUGCCGCGUGUGUGAAGAAGGUCUUCGGAUUGUAAAGCACUUUAAGUUGGGAGGAAAGGCAGUAACCUAAUACGUUAUUGUUUUGACGUUACCGACAGAAUAAGCACCGGCUAACUUCGUGCCAGCAGCCGCGGUAAUACGAAGGGUGCAAGCGUUAAUCGGAAUUACUGGGCGUAAAGCGCGCGUAGGUGGUUCAGUAAGUUGGAAGUGAAAUCCCCGGGCUCAACCUGGGAACUGCUUUCAAAACUGCUGAGCUAGAGUACGGUAGAGGGUGGUGGAAUUUCCUGUGUAGCGGUGAAAUGCGUAGAUAUAGGAAGGAACACCAGUGGCGAAGGCGACCACCUGGACUGAUACUGACACUGAGGUGCGAAAGCGUGGGGAGCAAACAGGAUUAGAUACCCUGGUAGUCCACGCCGUAA